rfam:Ictidomys tridecemlineatus contig095037, whole genome shotgun sequence.
GGGGUUGUGGCUCAGUGGUAGAGCACUCGCCUAGCAUGCAGAAGGCACUGGGUUCGAUCCUCAGCACCA